CCCAGUGUGGCUCAGUUGGUAGAGCAUGGUGUUUGCAACGCCAGGGUUGUGGGUUCCACGGGGG
rnacentral:tRNA from 1 species